ACGAACGCUGGCGGCGUGCUUAACACAUGCCGGUCGAACGGAAAGGCCCCUUUGGGGGUACUCGAGUGGCGAACGGGUGAGUAACACGUGAGUAACCUGCCCUUGACUUCGGGAUAACUUCAGGAAACUGGGGCUAAUACCGGAUAGGAAUCCUUGCUGCAUGGUGGGGGUUGGAAAGCUUCGGCGGUUUUGGAUGGACUCGCGGCUUAUCAGCUUGUUGGUGGGGUAGUGGCUUACCAAGGCUUUGACGGGUAGCCGGCCUGAGAGGGCGACCGGCCACAUUGGGACUGAGAUACGGCCCAGACUCCUACGGGAGGCAGCAGUGGGGAAUAUUGCACAAUGGGCGGAAGCCUGAUGCAGCAACGCCGCGGGCGGGAUGACGGCCUUCGGGUUGUAAACCGCUUUCAGCAGGGGCGAAGCUUGUGGUGACGGUACCUGCAGAAGAAGCACCGGCUAACUACGUG
rnacentral:rRNA from 1 species